AUUGAACGCUGGCGGCAGGCCUAACACAUGCAAGUCGAACGAGUGGCGGACGGGUGAGUAAUGUCUGGGAAACUGCCUGAUGGAGGGGGAUAACUACUGGAAACGGUAGCUAAUACCGCAUACCAUCAGAUGUGCCCAGAUGGGAUUAGCUAGUUGGUGGGGUAACGGCUCACCAAGGCGACGAUCCCUAGCUGGUCUGAGAGGAUGACCAGCAAACCUGGAACGUAGACACGGUCCAGACUCCUACGGGAGGCAGCUGGGGGGAAUAUUGAGCAAUGGGAGCAAGCCUGAUGCAGCCAUGCCGCGUGUAUGAAGAAGGCCUUAGGGUUGUAAAGUACUUUCAGCGGUGAGGCGUGACCCGCAGAAGAAGCACCGGCUAACUCCGUGCCAGCAGCCGCGGUAAUAC
rnacentral:rRNA from 1 species